CGCCAUGCAGUCAUUAAUGUCCUUCAUGAACUGCAUCAUAUCCUGCUGCAUCUGCUGUUUGAACAUUUCGUACUCCGUCGACAUUCCCACCUGAUGGCAAAGACUUUGGUAUGGCCCCGGUUCCGCCUACCGCUUGAAGACCACUAGCUU